UACGUAGGGUGCGAGCGUUGUCCGGAAUUAUUGGGCGUAAAGAGCUCGUAGGCGGCUUGUCGCGUCGGAUGUGAAAGCCCGGGGCUUAACUCCGGGCCUGCAGUCGAUACGGGCAGGCUAGAGUUCGGUAGGGGAGACUGGAAUUCCUGGUGUAGCGGUGAAAUGCGCAGAUAUCAGGAGGAACACCGGUGGCGAAGGCGGGUCUCUGGGCCGAUACUGACGCUGAGGAGCGAAAGCGUGGGGAGCGAACAGG
rnacentral:rRNA from 1 species